UACGGGGGGGGCAAGCGUUGUUCGGAAUUACUGGGCGUAAAGGGCGCGUAGGCUGCUCGUUAAGUCGGGUGUGAAAACUCUGGGCUCAACCCAGAGCCUGCAUUGGAAACUGACGAGCUAGAGUUCUGGAGGGGAAAGCGGAAUUCCUGGUGUAGCGGUGAAAUGCGUAGAUAUCAGGAGGAACACCGGUGGCGAAGGCGGCUUUCUGGACAGAAACUGACGCUGAGGCGCGAAAGCUAGGGGAGCAAACAGG
rnacentral:rRNA from 1 species